rnacentral:rRNA from 1 species
UACAGAGGUGGCAAGCGUUGUUCGGAAUUACUGGGCGUAAAGGGCGCGUAGGCGGCCAUCUAAGUCAGACGUGAAAUCCCCCGGCUUAACCUGGGAACUGCGUCUGAUACUGGACGGCUUGAGUAUGGGAGAGGGAUGUAGAAUUCCAGGUGUAGCGGUGAAAUGCGUAGAUAUCUGGAGGAAUACCGGCGGCGAAGGCGGCAUCCUGGACCGACAUGACGCUGAUGAGCGAAAAGCUAGGGGAGCAAACGGGG